rnacentral:rRNA from 1 species
UACGCAGGGGGCUAGCGUUGCUCGGAAUCACUGGGCGUAAAGCGCACGUAGGCGGCUUCUUAAGUCAGGGGUGAAAUCCUGGAGCUCAACUCCAGAACUGCCUUUGAUACUGAGAAGCUUGAGUCCGGGAGAGGUGAGUGGAACUGCGAAUGUAGAGGUGAAAUUCGUAGAUAUUCGCAAGAACACCAGUGGCGAAGGCGGCUCACUGGCCCGGUACUGACGCUGAGGUGCGAAAGCGUGGGGAGCAAACAGG